GCCUCUGCUGGUGCUUUGUGAGUGAGCCCAGGAUAGGGCCUUUUUCAUGCAAUCUCAAUUUGGAGAUCCAAAGUCAGCAUUCUGGACAAUGUUUUUCUCUGUCUUCAGUCUCAAAACAGGCCAAAUGUUUGAAAUUCUGAUCCCCUGACUCACUCUCCAGAGUAUUUUGAUUUCAAUAGUUGUCUUGACUGAUGAGACUGCUUAUGGAGAAAGGCCAAGGCUGAGCCACUCUUGACACCAAAGGCUUUUGGAAGUCAGCAGGAUUGAAAGAGUAACUACUCACCAGGGAAAGACUCUUCUGAAAGAACUCUACUUUCUUACUUCACACAGUUCCUGAGAUGCAAAUGUCUAUCUCAACAUUAAGUUCAAAUUCACUCUAUGUGCUGAAGAAAGCUUGGUAGAGAAGCAAAAGUGGUUAAAACACUCUUUGGUAUUUGGGAGACCUUUUUUUAACUCUCUGUUCCACAACAGCUCUCCAUAUGACCCCAAGGCAGGCCUUAACCCUGCAGUGUUUCAUUUGUAAAGCAGUCAGGGUAUCACAGAGCUCCUACACAGGAAUGCAGCAAGGAGAAAGUGCUAGAGUCCAGGAUGUCUUUAAUGUACUGGUAGAGAUAAGGUAUCAUGGAAGCCAUAAGAAACAACACUCUGAGAAUUGUCUGUUUUUCUUUAUUUUUCUCUCAACGUUAUCUGUGUUCAUAGGUGAGGCCACAUGAAAGACACAGAAUUUUUCAACUGUCUUUCAACUCCUGCCCUUUGUUCUUUGUCCCUACAGUCCUAUUGAUCCUUAUGAGAUACUACAUGGAAAAUCUGCCACAAACCACAUUUUUUUUAGUCAUUUCAUACCACGGGAUAUCUGAAUUUACAUGUGUUAGAGACUGCUGCUUUGGUCAAAGCCACAGGGACAUGAUGUAACACAUCGCUUUCUCAUUCUGAAACCUGGUGUGGGAAUGACAUGAGCUCACCCACCACUUUUGCACUGUGUAAACAGCCUGCAAAUUAAGUAUGAAAAAAGAGUGCUAACGAUUGCAAAGGAUUCUGGGGAAAAAAGAAAAAAAAAAAACCUUUGAAAAAGCCAGCAUUGUGAGCUGUCCCUAGCCCAGUUUCUGGCAGUCACAUUGCUGGAAAGUAAACCUCGGCCCUGAAGACUUUACAAUUUCCAAACAAGCAAAUUCUGUUGCAGGACCUCUUCCACAGAGCCUUAUUUGAUGAUCCACAAGCUGUAAAAUCGGAGAAUAAUUUAGACUAGAAGGCACUUGCGGAGAUCUUUGAUCCAGUUCAUGCCACAAGACUUCUGUGGGUUCCACCAAGACCUCUCCAGAGGAAAAGAAAAAAUCAUAUCAUGGAAAUAGCUUUGGGAACUACAAUAGCAACAUCUUUGAUGAUUAGAAUGGUUUUAUUGCUUUUCCUGAUGGAGAAAUUAAUAUAGGCAUCUUCAUAACACAGCAACAUCCGGUGGGCUGGGAACAAGGAAUUAACAGCCAGACUUUGGCUCUGUUUUGAAUACACAUUUGCUUGUAGUAUAGAGCUGAAUAGAAUGAUUGUUCUUUUUGACUUGUCUAACACAAAUGCUAUCAUCAUCUUCAGCAGCAGUAACAGAGAGCUUUGUGUGGUGGAUAAAACACUUCCCAAAAUCCUGAGUCCAGUUCUGACAUUUAUUUGGUGUGUGACUUCAGACAAUUCAUUGUACUUCUGUGCCCUCAUUUUCCCCUCAUCUGCAAGAUGUUCUUUCAGAUUUACUGACGAAAAUCUCUGUACAUAAAAUCAGAAAAUACACAUUAUCGUAUUAAUUGGGAGUAUCUUUAGUCCUACUUGAAUGAC